rnacentral:rRNA from 1 species
UGGGGAAUAUUGCACAAUGGGCGCAAGCCUGAUGCAGCCAUGCCGCGUGUAUGAAGAAGGCCUUCGGGUUGUAAAGUACUUUACAGCGGGGAGGAAGGCGAUAAGGUUAAUAACCUUGCGAUUGACGUUACCCGCAGAAGAAGCACCGGCUAACUCCGUUGCCAGCAGCCGCGGUAAUACGGAGGGUGCAAGCGUUAAUCGGAAUUACUGGGCGUAAAGCGCACGCAGGCGGUCUGUCAAGUCGGAUGUGAAAUCCCCGGGCUCAACCUGGGAACUGCAUUCGAAACUGGCAGGCUGGAGUCUUGUAGAGGGGGGUAGAAUUCCAGGUGUAGCGGUGAAAUUGCGUAGAGAUCUGGAGGAAUACCGGUGGCGAAGGC